rnacentral:rRNA from 1 species
GACGAACGCUGGCGGCGUGCUUAACACAUGCAAGUCGAGCGGAAAGGCCCUGCUUUUGUGGGGUGCUCGAGUGGCGAACGGGUGAGUAACCCGUGAGUAACCUGCCCUUGACUUUGGGAUAACUUCAGGAAACUGGGGCUAAUACCGGCUAGGAGCUCCUGCUGCAUGGUGGGGGUUGGAAAGUUUAGGCGGUUGGGGAUGGACUCGCGGCUUAUCAGCUUGUUGGUGGGGUAGUGGCUUACCAAGGCAUUGACGGGUAGCCGGCAUGAGAGGGUAACCGGCCACAUUGGGACUGAGAUACGGCCCAGACUCCUACGGGAGGCAGCAGGGGGGAGUAUUGCACAAUGGUCGGAAGUCUGAGGCAGCGACGCCGCGUGCGGGAUGACGGCCUUCGGGUUGUAAACCGCUUUCGCCUGUGACGAAGCGGGAGUGACGGUAAUGGGUAAAGAAGCACCGGCUAACUACGUG